rnacentral:rRNA from 1 species
UGGUGCAUGGCCGCCCUUAGUUGGUGGAGUGAUUUGUCUGGUUAAUUCCAAUAAUGAACAAGACCUUUACCAGCUAAAUAGUAAUUCUUAUCACAAUUCAUAGCAAGAUAUACUUCUUAGAGGGACUAUUGGUUUUUCAAACCAAAGGAAGUAAAGGCGAUAACAGGUCUGUGAUGCCAAUAAAUGUUCUGGGCUGCACACACGCUACAAUGAUCACUCAUCAAGUUAUUUCAACUUGUUUGCAAUUUACUUUUCCUGUAGGAAUGGUUAAUCCGGAUCAUUGAUUGUGCUUGGGAUAGAUAUUGUAAUUAUUUAUCUUGAACAAGGAAUUCCUAGUAAUCGUAAUUCAUCAGAUUGCGAUGAUUAUGUCCCUGCCCCUUGUACA